AGCAUUAGGGUUUUAAACCCUAAACUAAAUUUUUCUUUUAGUCAGCAUUAGGGUUUUAAACCCUAAACUGAACUUUUUCCUUUCAGUCAGCAUUAGGGUUUUAAACCCUAAACUGAGCUUUUUCAUGCAAUCAGCAUUAGGAUUUUAAACCCUAAACUGAAUUUUCCUUUUAGUUAGCAUUAGGGUUUUAAACCCUAAACUGAACUUUUUCCUUUCAGCCAGCAUUAGGGUUUUAAACCCUAAACUGAACUCUUUCCAUGCAAUCAGCAUUAGGGUUUUAAACCCUAAACUGAAUUUUUCCUUUAGUCAGCAUUAGGGUUUUAAACCCUAAACUGAAUUUUUCCUUUAGUCAGCAUUAGGGUUUUAAACCCUAAACUGAACUUUUUCCUUUCAGCCAGCAUUAGGGUUUUAAACCCUAAACUGAAUUUUCCAUGUAAUCAGCAUUAGGGUUUUAAACCCUAAACUGAAUUUUCCUUUUAGUCAGCAUUAGUGUUUUUAACCCUAAACUGAACUUUUUCCUUUCAGCCAGCAUUAGGGUUUUAAACCCUAAACUGAGCUUUUCCAUGCAAUCAGCAUUAGGGUUUUAUACCCUAAACUGAAUUUUCCUUCAGUCAGCAUUAGGGUUUUAAACCCUAAGCUGAACUUGUUCCUUUCAGCCAGCAUUAGGGUUUUAAACCCUAAACUGAGCUUUUCCAUGCAAUCAGCAUUAGGGUUUUAAACCCUAAACUGAAUUUUUCCUUUAGUCAGCAUUAGGGUUUUAAACCCUAAACUGAAUUUUUCCUUUAGUCAGCAUUAGGGUUUUA
rnacentral:lncRNA from 1 species